rnacentral:lncRNA from 1 species
GGUACCCAGGGUGCUGCCGGGAACAAGAAUACCCAGGAGGCAGCGGUGGAGAGGACAAGAACAGCCAGGAGCCCCGACCGGAAGGAGCCCACGAGCACGGCGUGCUGUGCCCAAGGCAGAGCCGGCCAAGCUGCCUUCCUUCAGGAGCAGUUGGUCUGUGCUCAGGACGAAGAGGUUUGCAAGGAAUCACUUGAGGUGUGGCAGGCUGAACAGCCACCCGGAAGGUGUCCCUGUCUAAUCCCCAGGACCCGAGACUCUAUGACCUUACGUUGCGAAGGGAGAUUUGCAGGUGUGAUUAAGUUAACGAUCUUGAGAUGGGGAGGCUAUCCUGGUGGGAUAACCAGUGUUCUCACAAGCCACAAGCCUUAGAAGCCAGAAGAGGGAGCAGAGGGUUGGAUCAGAGAGGGAGAUAGAGGAAGGAGGCAGAGUCAGGGGGCACGCUAAGACCCUAGGCUGCUGAGGAGGAGGGGCCACAAGCCCCGGCUGAGGGCAGCCUGUAGAAACUGGAAAAGAGUUUUCCUCUAGAGCUUUGCAAAGGAACUCAGCCCUGCCGACACCUUGACUUUAGCCUGCUGAAGCCCAUUUGGGACUUCUGACCCCCAGAUCUGUAAGACCCUAAAUUGGUGGUGUUAGCCACUAAUAAGUUUGCAGUAAUUUGCUCCAGCAACAAUCUGAAACUAAUACAUAAAGAAUGCCUGAAAUGCCUCCCCUGGGAGGCAUCAUUGCUCGUCCGCCUAAUGGCCAUUUCUAACAACCCUCCUUCCUUGCCUUCUUCCCAAGUACUAAUACUCCCAACCUCUUUUGCACUCCGGGAUGAUCAGGAGACCCACGGAGUCAUAAGGAAAAGCCAGCUGGGGAAAGAGCCUCUUUCGGAUAAAAGGAGGAGCCACCAUUUCUUACAGAAAAUCAUAGAAAACCAAUAAAUACUUAACUGAAUGCCCCCGGCUCUGGGCU